rnacentral:tRNA from 3 species
GUACUUUGGUGUAAAGGUCCGCAUAUCAGGCUCAUAACCCGAUGGACCAGGUUCGAUUCCUGGAAUGUACU